rnacentral:lncRNA from 1 species
GGGUGAGAUGCUCUGCAAGAUUUGAAAACGUCCCGAUUUUUAUUCCUGAAGAGUUAAAUGACGUGGAUUUACACUGACAUACGCAUACAGGCAGCUUUUUUCCCCCCCCAGGUACAGAAGUGAGUGCCUGGUGUGACACCUGUGAACGGAGCUGCACAAAGCAGCAGUGACAGCGUGGUUCCCGCAGCAGAACUCAGUGCCACGCUGCUGCUCACUGCUCCAGCUUCCCUUCUCCUGGGUGAGUGAGUGACGAGGCGUCUCCUGUUCUCUGUACACAGUCAUCUGUCAACAACCGCUUUCUCAAUUAGUCCUGGUGUGUGUGUGGGGGCGGCGUGGAGGAGCAGAUGAUCCCUGAUAAUAGUACAUUAUCAACAGGGGGAGGUUUCAUUUUCUCUGAAUAGAAAACACGUCUGAAUAGUUGCACGUCUCCCAGACGCUGUGAAAUCUGGAGGGGAAUUCAGGCCUUCGUUUUUACUGUGGGGUUGUCUGAAAGCACGUGUAGAUCUCAUUUCUUCUGACAAAUGCAGGACGUACUGCUGAGUGCUGCUGCAGUGUCUGGCUGUGAG